CCGGAGCCCGGGAGACUACGCGUCCCAGAAGGCAUGGCGGCGAGGCGACCAUUCAUGGAAGCAACAAGCACAAAAAACCCAACAAUGCUUAGAACUUCAAGCAAUCACUGAAAAGUGAACAAAGGACAACAGAAACCUUAUCCAUCUACAUACUGAACAAACUUACAUAGUGUUUAUCUGGGUUGUAUUUCUUAUGAUAUGUGAAAACAGAGACUUCCUUGAUCCGGC